rnacentral:rRNA from 1 species
GACAGAGGGUGCAACCGUUGUUCGGAAUUACUGGGCGUAAAGAGCGUGUAGGCGGCUUGGUAAGUCCGCUGUGAAAGUCCAGGGCUCAACCCUGGAAAGCCGGUGGAAACUGUCAAGCUUGAGUCCGGAAGAGGCGAGUGGAAUUCCUGGUGUAGCGGUGAAAUGCGCAGAUAUCAGGAGGAACACCAAUGGCGAAGGCAGCUCGCUGGGACGGUACUGACGCUGAGACGCGAAAGCCAGGGGAGCAAACGGG